rnacentral:lncRNA from 1 species
UUAAAGAUUUAAAUAUUUUGGAAAAUUUUCUAAACUCAUGAAAUAAUAGGGCGUAAAAUUGAUUUAAUAAUGGUUCUCUAUAGUUGAAUGGGUGGUUGGUUGAAUAAUAUGAUUUAACAGGUGAAAAUGAUCAAAAAAGUAAAUCUAGCGGUCGAAAAUUUAUAAAGUACAAAAAGACCUAUACUCAUAAGAGUAUAGUAAUCAGACUCUAUACAUACAGUCCAAAGAUACCACACCUAUAUUAAUAAUCGAUAAAAAUGAUAUUUAAA